GUCAUUUAGCAUUUGGUCAAAGUUUAAUGAACAACGAGCAGUUUGGCUUCAAGUAGCCUCAACUCUCAACUAAAUUCAAAGCAGAUUUUCAGAGGUGACUGAAACAGACGAGAAGAUGAAUCACCGAAGGCAUGAAAGUAUAAAUUAAACAUCAGGACAUUUCAGAGAAUAGUUUUUUGUCUGUGAGUUUGAAACCAUCGCUGGUUCCCUGCUUGGGUUUUUUGAGGAUUAAUUGUUUUAAAUAUGAUCAUGGAGAUUUAAGAUUCAUUCGUUGUGGAUUAUCUGUUAAACUGGUCGAUAGUCUGCGCCUGAAGUGCUUUUGGAGCACACUGGGUACUAGUAGCAGACAUGGUCCUCUUUUCACACAGCAGUGUUUUUCGCCUACGCGCUGUUACGACAUUUCCAUAUACCAAUGGAGACAGUAUUCCCGAAAGAUUGGAAGGACUCGCAUUCAACUACCAAUAAAAAGCGAACAAGGUAUCCUUAUUCCAGAAGAAAAAAAUCCCUGGCAAUCAAUCACCCAUUGAAAUAUACAGGAAAUAUUCAGAAACGAUAGGCCUGUAUACACAUUUGGAGCUAACGUUAGGAUUUUGGGGUGUUUCGGAAGCUUUGUGAUGACAAAUAAAGGCGCUGCCUUAAGAUACAAGCA